UCGGCUGUCGAUUUUCUAAUCGAGCCACCGUUAAUCUAUCAUACUCUGGCUGAGCAACCUCGUCUCAAACAUUGCUGACUUGAACGUUAAUCAAGAAUGAUUAUCAACAGCAGCAAUAGAAAUACAUACAUAUGUAUGUAGCUAUUUUCACGGGCUACUAGUAAGGCGGAUUGGCUUAUCACCUGUCAACCAGAUCUGUCACGUAAGCAAAACAAAUCGAAAACACUUUCAAUAUAAUUGCAAAAAUAUUUGAAACCAUAUUCGUUGCCGAUCCAUUGGCUCAGCCCCGGUCGCUUUCCUUUCUUGGAGGUGGGCUACACAGUGCACACACAAGUCAAGACGGAGUGUGGGGUCUGAUCUGCUUAUUCAAAGCAAAUGUAUAGCAAACGGCAUUUGCGUAGGCUCAAUAAAGAAAUAUAAGACAAAUAUGCAGCCAAACAUAAUCGUGCUAGCGGAGAAACAGUGUCGUGCAGUGAAAUAGAAAAAGUUGAAGGCCGCGAAAUAGGAGAGACAAUCGACGAAAAUGAAACAAAUGGAAAGUGACACUGAAAAAUUUAAAGAACUUCUUUAGAGUUUUGAUUGAUGCCAUAACUGUAGGUACGGGGACAGCAUCAGCUGAAGUCCAGAUUAGGAAAGCCCUACAGCUGCAAAAAAAACGUUUUUUCAAAAACAGUACCACCGCGAACAGCAGACCUUAAUUAGUAAAUUUAAAAACUUAAAUGAAAUAUGUACAUAUAUAAUAAAAUACAAAUUUAAAUAUGAAAUUAAA